rnacentral:rRNA from 1 species
CCAUCACCAUUCAUGGUGGGGAGGCUCCCAGCAGACUACUGGGUUGAUAGGCCGGACGUGGAAGCACAGUAAUGUGUGUAGCUGACCGGUACUAAUAAGCCGAUAACUUACCCAA